UUCGUAGGUGAACCUGCGGAAGGAUCAUUACCUAGAGUUGCGGGCUUUGCCUGCUAUCUCUUACCCAUGUCUUUUGAGUACCUUCGUUUCCUCGGCGGGUUCGCCCGCCGAUUGGACAACUUAAACCAUUUGCAGUUGCAAUCAGCGUCUGAAAAAACUUAAUAGUUACAACUUUCAACAACGGAUCUCUUGGUUCUGGCAUCGAUGAAGAACGCAGCGAAAUGCGAUAAGUAGUGUGAAUUGCAGAAUUCAGUGAAUCAUCGAAUCUUUGAACGCACAUUGCGCCCCUUGGUAUUCCAUGGGGCAUGCCUGUUCGAGCGUCAUUUGUACCUUCAAGCUCUGCUUGGUGUUGGGUGUUUGUCUCGCCUCUGCGCGCAGACUCGCCUCAAAUCAAUUGGCAGCCGGCGUAUUGAUUUCGGAGCGCAGUACAUCUCGCGCUUUGCACUCAUAACGACGACGUCCAAAAGUACAUUUUUACACUCUUGACCUCGGAUCAGGUAGGGAUACCCGCUGAACUUAAGCAUAUCAAUAAGCGGAGG
rnacentral:rRNA from 1 species